rnacentral:lncRNA from 1 species
CUUUGGGGAGGGGGUGGGAGAGACGACAGGUCUGGGAUCAGGGAGUCUUCAAGGCCCCCGCUGAGGGGACAGCGAAUCUACCAUUGAACCGUGCACGGGGGACAUGGACAAAAUGAGACGCGACAGGGACAAGAGCAUUUUGCUCUGCUUCCAGGAAACAUCAAGUAGACUUCGCUUGAAAAGAUCGAGAAUGGAGGAGGGGAUCGGCACUCACUUGCAGACAUCAACAGUUUCCAGAAAAUUCGGUUCAAUUCCUUCACCACGGACCCACCAACCAAGGAGCUGGCAAAACCCACUAACCAACCAGGAGAACACAGACCCGGUUUGUCUUUUGACAACCGAGUGGAACUGACGGGGCCGGCGCCUGCCCUGCGGGUCCCCUCCCUUGGCUGAGAAGAAAACCAAAUAAACCUUGAACAGCCUUGG